CCUACGGGAGGCAGCAGUGAGGAAUAUUGGUCAAUGGCCGUAAGCCUGAACCAGCCAAGUCGCGUGAAGGACGAAGGAUCUAUGGUUUGUAAACUUCUUUUAUAGGGGAAUAAAGGGAUCCACGUGUGGAGAUUUGCAUGUACCCUAUGAAUAAGCAUCGGCUAACUCCGUGCCAGCAGCCGCGGUAAUACGGAGGAUGCGAGCGUUAUCCGGAUUUAUUGGGUUUAAAGGGUGCGUAGGUUGUUUUUUAAGUCAGCGGUGAAAGUUUGUGGCUCAACCAUAGAAUUGCCGUUGAAACUGGAAGACUUGAGUAUGUUUGAGGUAGGCGGAAUGCGUGGUGUAGCGGUGAAAUGCAUAGAUAUCACGCAGAACUCCGAUUGCGAAGGCAGCUUACUAAGCCAUAACUGACGCUGAAGCACGAAAGCGUGGGGAUCAAACAGGAUUAGAUACCCUUGUAGUC
rnacentral:rRNA from 1 species